UUUUAUUGUUGCUUGUGAAGUGAUUUCGGCCAUUGUGAUCCUUAUUGUUGGGGUAUUGCCGUGGGACACUUCUUGGUUGGUUUUGACUUGUUGCCGUGUGAACCUCUUGGUGGUGAGAGUUUGGGUGUCAAGUUGUAGCCGUGAGACUCCUUGGUGGUUGAGGUUGUAGUUGGCAGCCGUGAGUAUCAUUGUUGCUUGUGGUAGUCUUGUUUAAGGUUGGCAUUACAACUUGUGGUAGCCGUGAGGUUCAUUUGGGUGUAAGUGUGGUUGCCGUGAAUUUCUUGGUGUGAAAUUGGUAACUGUGAGAUCCGUGGGAC
rnacentral:misc_RNA from 1 species